rnacentral:rRNA from 1 species
UACGUAGGGUGCGAAGCGUUGCCCCGGAUUUAUUUGGGCGUAAAGGGGCGCGUAGGCGGCUCUGCACGUUCGUUUGUGAAAUCGCCCGGCCUCAACUGGGCGGGGUCAGCGGAUACGGCAGAGCUUGAGCAAGCUAGGGGGCAAAUGGAAUUCCCGGUGUAGUGGUGGAAUGCGUAGAUAUCGGGAGGAACACCAGUGGCGAAGGCGGUUGCCUGGGCUUUGCUUGACGCUGAUGCGCGAAAGCGUGGGGAGCGAGUCGG